GAGACAGGGAGUCUCCCCUUGUGUCUGAUGUGGAUCUACAUCUCCAGGGCAUGAGGGUUUCAAUGUCCAUGGUAAAGGGUAUGGUAUCAGGGGCAGUGUCGGGGAGAACACUUCAUGUGACAUGGAUCUCCAAGGACUGGACCUGUGCUGCUGGAAAUGUCUGCUGGGGUUAGACUGUCUCUUCCCGUUCUGCCAAAUGUUGGCGUAAGA